rnacentral:rRNA from 1 species
GACGAACGCUGGCGGCGUUCUUAACACAUGCAAGUCGAACGGAAAGGCCCUGCUUUUGUGGGGUGCUCGAGUGGCGAACGGGUGAGUAACACGUGAGUAACCUGCCCUUGACUUUGGGAUAACUUCAGGAAACUGGGGCUAAUACCGGAUAGGAGCUCCUGCUGCAUGGUGGGGGUUGGAAAGUUUCGGCGGUUGGGGAUGGACUCGCGGCUUAUCAGCUUGUUGGUGGGGUAGUGGCUUACCAAGGCUUUGACGGGUAGCCGGCCUGAGAGGGUGACCGGCCACAUUGGGACUGAGAUACGGCCCAGACUCCUACGGGAGGCAGCAGUGGGGAAUAUUGCACAAUGGGCGGAAGCCUGAUGCAGCAACGCCGCGUGCGGGAUGACGGCCUUCGGGUUGUAAACCGCUUUCGCCUGUGACGAAGCGUGAGUGACGGUAAUGGGUAAAGAAGCACAGGCUAACUACGUG